AAAAUAUGACUGCAGUGCUCAAAAUAGCACCACACUUCCACAUAGCGUAAUGAGGGUCCCUACAUGGUAACCAAAGCAUUGAGAACGUUUUAAGUGUACAGAUAGUUAAU